UAGGGAAUCUUCGGCAAUGGACGAAAGUCUGACCGAGCAACGCCGCGUGAGUGAAGAAGGUUUUCGGAUCGUAAAACUCUGUUGUUAGAGAAGAACAAGGACGUUAGUAACUGAACGUCCCCUGACGGUAUCUAACCAGAAAGCCACGGCUAACUACGUUCCAGCAGCCGCGGUAAUACGUAGGUGGCAAGCGUUGUUCGGAUUUAUUGGGCGUAAAGCGAGCGCAGGCGGUUUCUUAAGUCUGAUGUGAAAGCCCCCGGCUCAACCGGGGAGGGUCAUUGGGAACUGGGAGACUUGAGUGAAGAAGAGGAGAGUGGAAUUUCAUGUGUAGCGGUGAAAUGCAUAGAUAUAUGGAGGAACGCCAGUGGCGAAGGCGGCUCUCUGGUCAGUAACUGACGCUGAGGCGCGAAAGCGUGGGGAGCAAACAGG
rnacentral:rRNA from 1 species